UCCGUCUCUUCCCAGCUCAAGUGAACUUCACAAAUUGGCUCCCAUGUUGAAGCUUUUGUUGAUGAUGGUCCCUGGGCCCGAAGUACCUUUCUUUCACUCCUCUGCCUCUGUGUGUCCAUCCAUCCUUGAGGGUUCUGUCUCAAGACUCAGAAUGAGUGAAGAUUCAGGAGAUGUCGGAGGAUACUAAAAGCUAAUGGGAAUGCAGACCAUUCCUUGCUGACAGUACCUGGAUAUGCUCUUUUCUUGCCUGUGAAUGGGACAUAGGAUAGCCUGUCUAUCUGCAUGGAGGCAGGCCUCCAUGAAGCUAUUUGUAAAUAAUUCCUCACAAGAAGCUACUCAAGAGGAGCAUGAUGAUGUGGUGUGCCCUUCCUGCUUCUGAGUCCUGUCACCACCAGACAGCACUAACCAGCUUUGUCGUGGUUCUAGACACUU